rnacentral:rRNA from 1 species
UACGAAGGGGGCUAGCGUUGCUCGGAAUCACUGGGCGUAAAGGGUGCGUAGGCGGAUAUUUAAGUCAGUGGUGAAAUCUCCGGGCUCAACCCGGAAACUGCCAUUGAUACUAUUUAUCUUGAAUUCUGUUGAGGUGGGCGGAAUACAUCAUGUAGCGGUGAAAUGCUUAGAUAUGAUGUAGAACACCGAUUGCGAAGGCAGCUCACUAACCAGACAUUGACGCUGAGGCACGAAAGCGUGGGGAUCAAACAGG